rnacentral:rRNA from 1 species
GACGAACGCUGGCGGCGUGCUUAACACAUGCAAGUCGAACGGAGUGGCGAACGGGUGAGUGACACAGGGGUGAACUGCCCUGCACUUCGGGAUAAGCCUGGGAAACUGGGUCUAAUACCGGAUAGUGUGGGAUGGGGGCGCGGCCUAUCCGCUGGUUGGGGGUGUAAGGGCCUACCACGGCGGCGACGGGUCGCCGGCCUUAGAGGGUGGACGGCCACAGUGGGCCUGAGACACGACCCAGACGCCAACGGUAGGCAGCAGUGGGGAAUUGUGGGCAAGGGGCGGAGGCCUGAUGCAGCGACUCCGCGUUGGAGAUGACGGCCAUCGGGGUGUAAACGCCUUUCUGCAAAUACGCGGUAGAUGGAGAAGAAGCAACGGCUAACUACGUGCCAGCAGCCGCGGUAAUAC